rnacentral:rRNA from 1 species
CCUACGGGGGGCAGCAGUGGGGAAUAUUGCACAAUGGGGGAAACCCUGAUGCAGCGACGCCGCGUGAGUGAAGAAGUAAUUCGUUAUGUAAAGCUCUAUCAGCAGGGAAGAAAAUGACGGUAUCUGAGUAAGAAGCCCCGGCUAACUACGUGCCAGCACCCGCGGUAAUACGUAGGGGGCAAGCGUUAUCCGGAUUUACUGGGUGGAAAGGGAGCGUAGACGGCAGUGCAAGUCUGGAGUGAAAGGCGGGGGCUCAACCCCCGGACUGCUCUGGAAACUGUACGGCUGGAGUGCAGGAGAGGUAAGUGGAAUUCCUAGUGUAGCGGUGAAAUGCGUAGAUAUUAGGAGGAACACCAGUGGCGAAGGCGGCUUACUGGACUGUAACUGACGUUGAGGCUCGAAAGCGUGGGGAGCAAACAGGAUUAGAUACCCUUGUAGUC